AUCAUUUUGAGGAAACAGUGAACAAAAAAGUUGGGGCAUCCUGGGUAAUCAGCUUGGAGAAGCCCAGAAAAAUCUGACAGGAGUGGUGACAGUAGCAGCAGCAUGCCUGAUACAAGACCCCUGAAUAGUGAUUGGAGCAUUAAAGCCAUGGUGGUAUUCAUUUUUUGCAGCCGUUGGAUGAUGUAUCAUAAAACAGAAUUUCACUUCUGAUAGCUGCAUGUGUACAUAUGUGGUGGAGGAACUCAACAAUUUGCAGUAAAAGCAAACGUUUUUGCAGUCAAAGGUAACCUUUGCUACAUCUGUUAUUGAAUAUAUGCUGGGGAGGACAGUAGCAGUUUUGAGAUGUUUGUGUGUUAAAUCCAUUGUAGGUUUUCCAUCUGUG